rnacentral:snRNA from 12 species
UAGUUUGAGCAGUGGCAGUAUCACAGCCAAUGAGGUUUAUCCCAGGCAUGAUUAUUGCUAAUUGAAAAAAAUAAAAACAAAAUAAA